UUUGCAAAAAAAAUAAAUACAUUCUUGAAUUGCAAGCGUUUGGGCACAAGCACCUUUCUUGUGUAGUGGACAAAUCUAUGGCUAUAAGACAACGUGCCGUGGUCCUGAUCCUAAAGCUGGAUCUACAAGUCUGUGCCCCUGCAGAGCUCUGGGGAGUGCGCUCCUAUGCUGAGUCCAGGAUCAGGACCAGAACUAGCAGUCAAUAGUAAGAGCUUGUUUCAAGUCACUAGUGCAACCCCCCUAGUGCACACACUGUAGCCCUGGUUCAGUGCCCCUAUAUUAUGGGCUUUUAGAAACGUGGGUAUCUUUGGAAAAAACAGUAAAGUGUUACCAGAGGAAGCCAUUUGCAGUGCCAAAGAAAUUUUCAGUCUACCAGCACCUUUAUUUAAUUAAUAAACCCAUUGACUGCUCAUAUUCCUAAUUAUUAACGCAUGCAUAAAGGUUAGUAAUGCCUAUGCCUCGGUUGGGGUAUCCUUUGCCUUCGGAUAGAAGUGCUACAAUAUCUGGAAGUAGCUAGUAUUUUGGAUCAAGCCAGCCGUGUAGCUCUAAAGGUCCCUGCUUCAGUUCUUGGUGUGAUAGCGCAGAUGGUUAUCAUCAUGCUUGUGCGUUUUCUAACCAAUGAGGGGUUCUAGCUAAAGAAGCUCAGCAGUUCCCUCUGCUGCAGAUCUGCUAUCAGCAGAGCACUCUUGCUACCUGUGAUGGCCUUUAGUUAGCCACAGCUGUGCUGAUCCAUGCCUAGCAGCUCACCAAACUCAACAGAAGCUUCCACAACAGCCACAUGUUUCUUCUCCAGGGUCCAAGUGUCACUGGCCUUACGGCUAACUCCAGUUUUUCUGAAAUCAUGAGGACGGCUCCCACUAAUCGCUCGUGAAGGUUCAGAGAUUUUACAAGAGUCGCUUCUACUGAUUGCUGCUAACAUACCUGUCAACUUUCAACCUUCGUGCCAACCUGGAAUCUGCCUCAGUUAUAAUACCAAGUAUUAGAGUUACAAGUGACAGCAUAAUACAGCUGGUAUAAGAUUUCAUAGACAUCGGGCCUGGAAGAGACCUCGGGAGAUCAUCGAGUCCAGCCCCCUGCCCCAGGAGCAGGAAGUCAGCAGGGGUCAAAGGAUCCC